rnacentral:tRNA from 1 species
GAGGGUAUAGCGCAGUGGUAGAGUGUGUGCUUAGCGUGCAUGAGGUCCUGGGUUCAAUCCUCAGUUCCUCCA